GCGUGCCUAACACAUGCAAGUCGAACGGAGCUGCUUUGAUGAAGUUUUCGGAUGGAUUUAAAACAGCUUAGUGGCGGACGGGUGAGUAACGCGUGGGUAACCUGCCUCACACUGGGGGAUAACAGUUAGAAAUAGCUGCUAAUACCGCAUAAGCGCACGGUUCCGCAUGGAACAGUGUGAAAAACUCCGGUGGUGUGAGAUGGACCCGCGUCUGAUUAGCCAGUUGGCGGGGUAACGGCCCACCAAAGCGACGAUCAGUAGCCGGCCUGAGAGGGUGAACGGCCACAUUGGGACUGAGACACGGCCCAAACUCCUACGGGAGGCAGCAGUGGGGAAUAUUGCACAAUGGGGGAAACCCUGAUGCAGCGACGCCGCGUGAGUGAAGAAGUAUUUCGGUAUGUAAAGCUCUAUCAGCAGGGAAGAAAGUGACGGUACCUGAAUAAGAAGCCCCGGCUAACUACGUGCCAGCAGCCGCGGUAAUACGUAGGGGGCAAGCGUUAUCCGGAUUUACUGGGUGUAAAGGGAGCGUAGACGGCAAGGCAAGUCUGAAGUGAAAGCCCGGUGCUUAACGCCGGGACUGCUUUGGAAACUGUUUAGCUGGAGUGCCGGAGAGGUAAGCGGAAUUCCUAGUGUAGCGGUGAAAUGCGUAGAUAUUAGGAAGAACACCAGUGGCGAAGGCGGCUUACUGGACGGUAACUGACGUUGAGGCUCGAAAGCGUGGGGAGCAAACAGGAUUAGAUACCCUGGUAGUCCACGCCGUAAACGAUGAUUGCUAGGUGUAGGUGGGUAUGGACCCAUCGGUG
rnacentral:rRNA from 1 species